AACGCUGGAGGCGUGCCUAAUUAUGCAAGUCGAGCCGGUAAGAUGGGAACUUGCUCCCUGAUGUUAGCGGCGGACGGGUGAGUAACACGUGGGUAACCUGCCUGUAAGACUGGGAUAACUCCGGGAAACCGGGGCUAAUACCGGAUGCUUGUUUGAACCGCAUGGUUCAAACAUAAAAGGUGGCUUCGGCUACCACUUACAGAUGGACCCGCGGCGCAUUAGCUAGUUGGUGAGGUAAUGGCUCACCAAGGCAACGAUGCGUAGCCGACCUGAGAGGGUGAUCGGCCACACUGGGACUGAGACACGGCCCAGACUCCUACGGGAGGCAGCAGUAGGGAAUCUUCCGCAAUGGACGAAAGUCUGACGGAGCAACGCCGCGUGAGUGAUGAAGGUUUUCGGAUCGUAAAGCUCUGUUGUUAGGGAAGAACAAGUACCGUUCGAAUAGGGCGGUACCUUGACGGUACCUAACCAGAAAGCCACGGCUAACUACGUGCCAGCAGCCGCGGUAAUACGUAGGUGGCAAGCGUUGUCCGGAAUUAUUGGGCGUAAAGGGCUCGCAGGCGGUUUCUUAAUCUGAUGUGAAAGCCCCCGCUCACC
rnacentral:rRNA from 1 species